rnacentral:rRNA from 1 species
GCACCUUCCGAUACGGCUACCUUGUUACGACUUUACCCCAGUCAUGAACCCUGCCGUGGCAGUCGCCCUCCUUGCGGUUAGGCUAACGGCUUCUGGCAAAACCCACUCCCAUGGUAUGACGGGCGGUGUGUACAAGACCCGGGAACGUAUUCACCGCGACAUUCUGAUCCGCGAUUACUAGCGAUUCCAGCUUCACGUAGUCGAGUUGCAGACCACGAUCCGGACUACGAUGCAUUUUCUGAGAUUAGCUCCCCCUCGCGGGUUGGCAACCCUCUGUAUGCACCAUUGUAUGACGUGUGAAGCCCUACCCAUAAGGGCCAUGAGGACUUGACGUCAUCCCCACCUUCCUCCGGUUUGUCACCGGCAGUCUCAUUAGAGUGCCCUUUCGUAGCAACUAAUGACAAGGGUUGCGCUCGUUGCGGGACUUAACCCAACAUCUCACGACACGAGCUGACGACAGCCAUGCAGCACCUGUGUUCCGGUUCUCUUGCGAGCACUCCCAAAUCUCUUCGGGAUUCCAGACAUGUCAAGGGUAGGUAAGGUUUUUCGCGUUGCAUCGAAUUAAUCCACAUCAUCCACCGCUUGUGCGGGUCCCCGUCAAUUCCUUUGAGUUUUAAUCUUGCGACCGUACUCCCCAGGCGGUCAACUUCACGCGUUAGCUGCGCUACUAAGGCCGAAGGC